ACGAACGCUGGCGGCGUGCUUAACACAUGCAAGUCGAACGGUGAAGCUCCAGCUUGCUGGAGUGGAUCAGUGGCGAACGGGUGAGUAACACGUGAGCAACCUGCCCCUGACUCUGGAAUAAGCGCUGGAAACGGCGUCUAAUACUGGAUACGAGAAGGGUCCGCAUGGGCACUUUCUGGAAAGUUUUUCGGUUGGGGAUGGGCUCGCGGCCUAUCAGCUUGUUGGUGAGGUAAUGGCUCACCAAGGCGACGACGGGUAGCCGGCCUAAGAGGGCGACCGGCCACACUGGGACUGAGACACGGCCCAGACUCCUACGGGAGGCAGCAGUGGGGAAUAUUGCACAAUGGGCGAAAGCCUGAUGCAGCGACGCCGCGUGAGGGAUGACGGCCUUCGGGUUGUAAACCUCUUUCAGCAGGGAAGAAGCGAAAGUGACGGUACCUGCAGAAGAAGCACCGGCUAACUACGUG
rnacentral:rRNA from 1 species